CCUACGGGAGGCAGCAGUGAGGAAUAUUGGUCAAUGGACGAGAGUCUGAACCAGCCAAGUCGCGUGCAGGAAGACUGCCCUAUGGGUUGUAAACUUCUUUUAUAUGGGAAUAAAAUGUUCCACGUGUGUGCUUUUGAAUGUACCAUAUGAAUAAGGAUCGGCUAACUCCGUGCCAGCAGCCGCGGUAAUACGGAGGAUACGAGCGUUAUCCGGAUUUAUUGGGUUUAAAGGGAGCGUAGGUGGUUUGUUAAGUCAGUUGUGAAAGUUUGCGGCUCAACCGUAAAAUUGCCGUUGAAACUGGCAGUCUUGAGUACAGUAGAGGUGGGCGGAAUUCGUGGUGUAGCGGUGAAAUGCUUAGAGAUCACGAAGAACUCCGAUUGCGAAGGCAGCUCACCGGACUGCAACUGACACUGAGGCUCGAAAGUGUGGGUAUCAAACAGGAUUAGAUACCCUGGUAGUC
rnacentral:rRNA from 1 species